rnacentral:rRNA from 1 species
GCUUACGGCCACACCUCCCUGAGCACGCCCGAUCUCGUACUGAUCUCCGGAAGCUAAGCAGGGUCGGGCCCGGUUAGUACUUGGCUGGAGGACCGCCUGGAAUACCAGUGGCUGUAAGCC